CAGUCGCCGCGGGAAUACGGAGGGUGCAAGCGUUAAUCGGAAUUACUGGGCGUAAAGCGUGCGUAGGCGGUUCGUUAAGUCUGUUGUGAAAGCCCCGGGCUCAACCUGGGAAUGGCAAUGGAUACUGGCGAGCUAGAGUGUGUCAGAGGAUGGUGGAAUUCCCGGUGUAGAGGUGAAAUUCGUAGAUAUUCGGAAGAACACCAGUGGCGAAGGCGGCUCACUGGCUCAUACUGGACGCUGAGGUGCGAAAGCGUGGGGAGCAAACAGGAUUAGAUACCCCCGUAGUCCCUGUCUCUUAUAC
rnacentral:rRNA from 1 species